GUUAGCCUGAGAUGUGCGUUUGGUUUAUUUAAUUACUUCCACAAUCUGACAUACGGGACUUCGGUAUUGUAGCGUGGAUGUCGGGCCGCCCCUGAGCGGAUGGCUGAAGCGGCUUCCGAGAAGACCCACCCUGGCUAUAUAGCUGGGAGUCACUUAUAAACCGACGGCACCUUGGGUUUUUA
rnacentral:other from 1 species